UACGUAGGGGGCUAGCGUUGUCCGGAUUUAUUGGGCGUAAAGAGCGUGUAGGCGGCCAUGUAGGUCCGGUGUGAAAACUCGAGGCUUAACCUCGAGAUGUCAUCGGAAACCAUUUGGCUAGAGUCCGGAAGAGGAGAGUGGAAUUCCUGGUGUAGCGGUGAAAUGCGCAGAUAUCAGGAGGAACACCGAUGGCGAAGGCAGGUCUCUGGGCCACUACUGACGCUGAGAAGCGAAAGCAUGGGGAGCGAACAGG
rnacentral:rRNA from 1 species